GUGGCUGUCUUUGCUGUUGCUGCAUUUGCUGGAGAUGGAAUGCAGCCAUAAGCAGCCACGGACAGUGACGUGAAUGGUUCCUGCCGACAGUGUCUGCAGAGUUAUCAGAUCUUCUGUGCGAUGGUUCCAUACAUG
rfam:Colinus virginianus strain Texas jcf7180006227110, whole genome shotgun sequence.